CCUUCGGGUUGUAAAGCCCUUUAGGUAGGGAAGAAUGUUGCAGGGUGAAUACCCCUGUAAUUUGACGGUACCUACAGAAUUAGCACCGGCUAAUUCUGUGC
rnacentral:rRNA from 1 species